CCUUGUUACAGAUGUUUCACCUGAGGAGGUGGCCAUGGGCAGGGACACCACCUUCUCACAUAAUCCCUCCGCUCCCAGCCCCGGGGAGAGGAUUCAGCACAGACAAAGAUUAAAAGAUGAAGGAGGCUCUCUUCCGAGACAUCGUCCCUGUUUCUACACAGAACAAACUCCAGGGGAAUAAAAAGAGACAGAACAGUAAAAGGUGGGGACUUUUAAACUGGGGGGGAAAGGGGAGGGGUUGUAGAAUUACAACCAAUGGGAUGAGACCGAAGGGGUGGGGCGAGGGGAAGGAACCAACAUCACAAACCUUGGGGGGAGCACAGGGAAAAUUUUUUUUUUUUUUGUCUUUGUGGUGCAAGACAACAACCUUCCACAAUCCCAGGUUGUUCAGAGCCUCAUCCAGCCUGUCCUUGGACACCUCCAGGAUGGCUGCCAGCCACAGGUUCUCUGGGAAACCUGUGCCAGAGCCUCACCACUGUCACAGGGAUCAAUUUUUUCCCAAUAUCCAAUCUAACCCUGCUCUCUGUCAGUGUGAAGCCAUUUCCCCUUGUCCUGUCACUCCAGGCCCUUGUCAAGAGUCUCUCUCCAUCUUUCCUGUGGGUUCCCUUCAGGCACUGCAAGGCCACAGUGAGGUCACCCCAAAGCCUUCCCUUCUCCAGGCUGAGCAAUCCCAAUUGUUCCCUCAGCCUUUCCUCCCAGCAGAGCUGCUCCAUCCCUCUGAUGCCCUUGGUGUCCCUGCUGUGGCCUGGCUGCAGCAGCUCCCUGUCCUUCCUGUGCUGGGCCCAGGGCUGGAUGCAGCCCUGCAGGGGGGGCUCAGCAGAGCCGGGCAGAGGGGCAGAAUUCCCCUCCCCUGCCGCCCUGGGGCUCUGGGUGCAGCCCAGAAAUUUCUCUCUUUCCUCCUCGGGAAGACUUUUGGAAGUUUUCCAGCUUGUCUUACUGUCCCUCAGGGCACUGAGUGUGUUUUCAUCUGCAUAUGAAAAUAUGUCCAUGCACUCCAACUCUUGUCCUGAAUAUCACAAAGGUAAAUAUCAGUAUUUUCUCUCAAGUUUUUGUGCAAACAUAGAUGCUGGCAGCUCAAAACUAAAUACAUUUUUGGUAUGCACAUGCUUUUUCAUUUGGAGAAAUGGCAUACAUAAGAUUAAUCAUGCCCAGAAUUAUUGAUUAUUAAUUAUAAACAAGUCUUGAGUAGAUAAACCUAAAUGCAGUCUUACAUGAGGACAGGGAAAUCCCACCCACUGCAACUGUGCAUUAAAAAAUAAGAAUCUUACAAACUGUACUGUGCUGCUUAUAGGAAAUAAUCCUCCUCAUUAAAAAAGAAAUUAAAUUUCCUUAGUUUGCAACACUGCAAUUUGCUACUACUGUUACAUUAACUGAUGUUCCUAGAUGUGAAGUCUUCCUUUAAAUGGAAAGCAUGAGGGCGGAAAAAAAAAUGUUUUAGUGACAUAUUCCUACAGGAAAAGCCUUUAAUGCUUAAUUUUUCCAGUUAAUAGUUAUAGUUCUAAUGAGGUUCCUUUGGAACUUUUUGGAAAUUUUUGAUAAAAUAAAAAGAAUUGUUCUUAAUGUGCUUUCUUUAAA
rnacentral:lncRNA from 1 species